rnacentral:rRNA from 1 species
CCUACGGGAGGCAGCAGUGAGGAAUAUUGGUCAAUGGACGAGAGUCUGAACCAGCCAAGUAGCGUGAAGGAUGACUGCCCUAUGGGUUGUAAACUUCUUUUAUAUGGGAAUAAAAUGUUCCACGUGUGGGAUUUUGUAUGUACCAUAUGAAUAAGGAUCGGCUAACUCCGUGCCAGCAGCCGCGGUAAUACGGAGGAUCCGAGCGUUAUCCGGAUUUAUUGGGUUUAAAGGGAGCGUAGGUGGAUUGUUAAGUCAGUUGUGAAAGUUUGCGGCUCAACCGUAAAAUUGCAUUUGAAACUGGCAGUCUUGAGUACAGUAGAGGUAGGCGGAAUUCGUGGUGUAGCGGUGAAAUGCUUAGAUAUCACGAAGAACUCCGAUUGCGAAGGCAGUUCACUGGACUGCAACUGACACUGAGGCUCGAAAGUGUGGGUAUCAAACAGGAUUAGAUACCCUUGUAGUC